UACACUUAGUGAGUUGCUUCCUCCCUUCUCAUACUGCUGAGUCUACAUUUAAGCAUUCAUUCUUCACAGGAGGACCGACACGACAGAUUGACCUAUCCGCUGAUGCGAAUUGACAAAGAGGACUCAAAGGCCAUAACUGCGGUGUUGGAGAACCACUUAUUUGAGGUGACGGACGGAUUGGGCACUUCAUUGAUUUGAAGUACGAUAUAAAGUCUGCCUUGGCUUUGGAUCUCAUCACAAAUGCAUUCUGUCAGUUCCUCAAGGCUCUUCUCACAUCAUGUGGUGACAUUUGCGUCCAGUGUUAUAUAGCCCUGUCACAUGGAAGAGGUGGAGGAGACCAGCUUACUAAAAAGAAACACUGCCUCUAUUGCUGUCAUCAACAGCCAGCUGGCUGAAAUCAAGCCACCACACAGCUCCACGAGACUCCCAAGGGCACUGAGCACACGCCUAUUCUGGAAGGCUUCCGAAUGGCGCCACUGGCUGCUGUACCACUCGCUUCCCUGCAUGUACAGGGUCCUUCUGGACCAAUACUGGCCGUACAUAAAGAAG